rnacentral:rRNA from 1 species
CCUACGGGCGGCUGCAGUGGGGAAUCUUCCACAAUGGGCGAAAGCCUGAUGGAGCAACGCCGCGUGAGUGAAGAAGGUUUUCGGAUCGUAAAACUCUGUUGUAAGGGAAGAACAAGUACAGUAGUAACUGGCUGUACCUUGACGGUACCUUAUUAGAAAGCCACGGCUAACUACGUGCCAGCAGCCGCGGUAAUACGUAGGUGGCAAGCGUUGUCCGGAAUUAUUGGGCGUAAAGCGCGCGCAGGUGGUUUCUUAAGUCUGAUGUGAAAGCCCACGGCUCAACCGUGGAGGGUCAUUGGAAACUGGGAGACUUGAGUGCAGAAGAGGAAAGUGGAAUUCCAAGUGUAGCGGUGAAAUGCGUAGAGAUUUGGAGGAACACCAGUGGCGAAGGCGACUUUCUGGUCUGUAACUGACACUGAGGCGCGAAAGCGUGGGGAGCAAACAGGCUUAGAUACCCCGGUAGUC